GCCUUAUAGUCCGAAAAAUACGGUAUAUCUUAAAAGCUGUGGGAUAAGGCACAAUAUGUAGCUUUUAAGUGAACCCAUGUGAAAUAAUUUAUUUACCUUAUACCUAUGAUAUGUUUCUUUAUUAGAGGUUCGAGUUUUUGUAGUUGGACCAAACUGUUCCCUGGAGAAGAUCCCUCAGCUCCAAACGGAGGACGCUCAAUUAGAGAUUGAUCUGAUUGGAAUUUCGAAAAAUAAAAUGAAUGCAGGAAACGCUGCUGUGUCCUUCAUAAGCUUCACCAACAUGUCCGACUCCAGCCUCUUCGGUAUGACCACUGACCCAAUGACGGUCAUGAUGUCCACUGUGGUUUCAAUCACGCUGUCCAAAACCAGCAACACCAGCCUCACCAAACCAGUCAACUUCACACUGAGACACACAGCUGAGUUGAGUGCCAAUCAGUCCCAAUCGCUGACCUGUGUUUACUGGAAGGUUAAAGAAUGGGUUGUCGAUGGCUGUACUCUUACUAAGACCAACAGCAGCCACACUGUCUGCUCCUGUACUCACCUGUCCACCUUCGCUCUCAUCAUGCAGACCCACCCCCAGAAGGUAAGGCGAUGGGAUUUCACCUGGUCGUGGGAAAUUAAGACAAGUUCUGCAAGAAACUGUCGCUUAAAAGAGCACUUUAUGCUUUUUUCACCAGUAAUUGUUGCAAUAGAGCACCAAACUCUGCUCCAACCCUGCUAAAACCAAUCGCUAGCAUUGCUGCAACAAGUCAGCUAAGGCCGGUGUUUUGAUUUAAUAUAUUAAAUAUAACUUAUAAGACAACAUAUAAAAUAUUUUUGUAUAUUUGUAUGCCCGCUUUCUCCUGAACAUUUUGCCUUGUCUUUUGAGGUGCAGGUGCAUCUAAAAAAAUUAUAAUAUCACUGAAAAGUUACUUUAUUUCAGUAAUUCAUUUCAAAAUGUGAAUCUCAUAUAUUAUAUAGAUGUAUUAAACAAAGCGCAAUCUAUUUUAAGUGUUUAUUUCUUUUAUUGUUGAUAAUUAUGGCUUACAGCCAAUGAAAAAAAAAAAAAAAA
rnacentral:lncRNA from 1 species